CUUAGCGGCGGACGGGUGAGUAAUGCUUAGGAAUCUGCCUAUUAGUGGGGGACAACAUUUCGAAAGGAAUGCUAAUACCGCAUACGUCCUACGGGAGAAAGCAGGGGAUCUUCGGACCUUGCGCUAAUAGAUGAGCCUAAGUCGGAUUAGCUAGUUGGUGGGGUAAAGGCCUACCAAGGCGACGAUCUGUAGCGGGUCUGAGAGGAUGAUCCGCCACACUGGGACUGAGACACGGCCCAGACUCCUACGGGAGGCAGCAGUGGGGAAUAUUGGACAAUGGGCGCAAGCCUGAUCCAGCCAUGCCGCGUGUGUGAAGAAGGCCUUAUGGUUGUAAAGCACUUUAAGCGAGGAGGAGGCUACUUUAGUUAAUACCUAGAGAUAGUGGACGUUACUCGCAGAAUAAGCACCGGCUAACUCUGUGCCAGCAGCCGCGGUAAUACAGAGGGUGCAAGCGUUAAUCGGAUUUACUGGGCGUAAAGCGCGCGUAGGCGGCUAAUUAAGUCAAAUGUGAAAUCCCCGAGCUUAACUUGGGAAUUGCAUUCGAUACUGGUUAGCUAGAGUGUGGGAGAGGAUGGUAGAAUUCCAGGUGUAGCGGUGAA
rnacentral:rRNA from 1 species